CGGAAGCAUUAGAAGUGACUUAGUGGCGGACGGGUGAGUAACGCGUGGGUAACCUGCCCUGUACUGGGGGACAACAGUUGGAAACGGCUGCUAAUACCGCAUAAGCGCACAGCAUCGCAUGGUGCAGUGUGAAAAACUCCGGUGGUACAGGAUGGACCCGCGUCUGAUUAGCUAGUUGGUGGGGUAACGGCCUACCAAGGCGACGAUCAGUAGCCGGCCUGAGAGGGUGAACGGCCACAUUGGGACUGAGACACGGCCCAGACUCCUACGGGAGGCAGCAGUGGGGAAUAUUGCACAAUGGGCGCAAGCCUGAUGCAGCGACGCCGCGUGAGUGAUGAAGUAUUUCGGUAUGUAAAGCUAUAUCAGCAGGGAAGAAAAUGACGGUACCUGACUAAGAAGCACCGGCUAAAUACGUGCCAGCAGCCGCGGUAAUACGUAUGGUGCAAGCGUUAUCCGGAUUUACUGGGUGUAAAGGGAGCGUAGGCGGCAUGGCAAGUCAGAUGUGAAAGCCCGGGGCCCAACCCCGGAACUGCAUUUGAAACUGUCAGGCUAGAGUACCGGAGAGGUAAGCGGAAUUCCUAGUGUAGCGGUGAAAUGCGUAGAUAUUAGGAGGAACACCAGUGGCGAAAGGCGGCUUACUGGACGGUAACUGACGCUGAGGCUCGGAAGCGUGGGGAGCAAACA
rnacentral:rRNA from 1 species